AAGUAAGUGAAUUGUAAGCCUAAAACCCAGGAUGAGCAAGAAAUCCCUUUCCGGCUGCGAGAGAUUAUGAGGACCGAGCCCGCUGGAGAUGAAAAAGAUGCUAAGUAACAAGAAGAGGAAAAAGGAGGUCCAGGUGGCUUUCAAGAAGACAUUGGAAAAGGAAGCGAAGGGGGAGGAGCCAGACAUCACUGUCCCCAAGUUCAAGCAAAGGAAGGGGUAGUCUGAUGUGGCCUACAUCCAGCGCAUGGAACAGAACGCCCUGCAAGAACCAAGCCACUCUGCAGCCAAAGGUGCAGGCAGCUCCCAAGAAGGAGAAGUCUAAGCCGAAGAAAGCGUUCCAGAAGCGACGACUUGAAAAGGCCCAGAAGAAAAAUGAAGCAAGAGCAGUGGACAGAUUGGAGCAGGAGUUGCUAAAAGAUACUGUGAAGUUUGGAGAAGUUGUGCAGCAGCCCCCCGGAGCUGACAGUUUAGCCUAGAAGGAGCACAAGCAGAGACGCACCUGGGAAGAAAUCACUAAUACUGAAGAUGCUUUCGGGCCCUGGUAGUGUGCCCCCGGCUCCAGCCACCUCACUGGCGCGCCAGUGGACCCUGGGGGAAGAGCUGAAACGGGCUGUGCAGGCUUACAGAGUCCUGAAGAAGCUGUAUGGACAGGAAGUGACACCUGCAUUGCCAUCAGGCAGCUCUUCCCAGAGGCAGCUCCAGGCUUGUCUAUGAAGCAGAGACGGCAGGGGUCUUAUCCUCUGGAAACUGGUCCAGGAGCUGCUGGUUCUUGAUGAGGAAGAGACAGCAGAUCUUCAAUCCCGGGUAGGGUCCUGAGAGUAAGCUUUCAGUUUAGA
rnacentral:lncRNA from 1 species